UGGGGAAUAUUGGACAAUGGGCGCAAGCCUGAUCCAGCCAUGCCGCGUGAGUGAUGAAGGUCUUAGGAUUGUAAAGCUCUUUCACCGGUGAAGAUAAUGACGGUAACCGGAGAAGAAGCCCCGGCUAACUUCGUGCCAGCAGCCGCGGUAAUACGAAGGGGGCUAGCGUUGUUCGGAAUUACUGGGCGUAAAGCGCAUGUAGGCGGAUAUUUAAGUCAGGGGUGAAAUCCCAGAGCUCAACUCUGGAACUGCCUUUGAUACUGGGUAUCUUGAGUAUGGAAGAGGUAAGGGGAAUUCCGAGUGUAGAGGUGAAAUUCGUAGAUAUUCGGGGGAACACCAGUGGCGAAGGCGGCUUACUGGUCCAUUACUGGCGCUGGGGUGCGAAAGCGUGGGGAGCAAACAGG
rnacentral:rRNA from 1 species